rnacentral:rRNA from 1 species
AGUGAACGCUGGCGGUAGGCCUAACACAUGCAAGUCGAACGGCAGCACAGUAAGAGCUUGCUCUUACGGGUGGCGAGUGGCGGACGGGUGAGGAAUACAUCGGAAUCUACUUUUUCGUGGGGGAUAACGUAGGGAAACUUACGCUAAUACCGCAUACGACCUACGGGUGAAAGCAGGGGAUCUUCGGACCUUGCGCGAUUGAAUGAGCCGAUGUCGGAUUAGCUAGUUGGCGGGGUAAAGGCCCACCAAGGCGACGAUCCGUAGCUGGUCUGAGAGGAUGAUCAGCCAAACUAGAACUGAGACACGGUCCAGACUCCUACGGGAGGCAGCAGUGGGGAAUAUUGGACAAUGGGCGGAAGCCUGAUCCAGCCAUAACGCGUGGGUGAAGAAGGCCUUCGGGUUGUAAAGCCCUUUUGUUGGGAAAGAAAAGCAGCAGGUUAAUACCCCGCUGUUCUGACGGUACCCAAAGAAUAAGCACCGGCUAACUUCGUG